UGCGUAGGCGGAUUAAUAAGUCAGUGGUGAAAUCUCUCGGCUCAACCGGGAAACUGCCAUUGAUGCUGUUAAUCUUGAGUUCGGUUGAGGUAGGCGGAAUGUGUAAUGUAGCGGUGAAAUGCUUAGAUAUUACACAGAACACCAAUUGCGUAGGCAGCUUACUAGACCGACACUGACGCUGAGGCACGAAAGCGUGGGUAGCGAACAGGAUUAGAUACCCUGGUAGUCC
rnacentral:rRNA from 1 species